UAUCUCUGUAGAGUCUGCAUAUCAAUAAGCGGAGGAAAAGAAACUAAUCUAAGGAUUCCCUUAGUAACGGCGAGUGAAGCGGGAAGAGCUCAAAUUUGAAAUCUUCAAGGUUUUACCUUGACGAAUUGUAGUUUAAAGAAGUGUUUUCUGUUAGAUGUUAGUAGCAAAGUUCUUGGAAUAGGACAUCAUAGAGGGUGAGAAUCCCGUAUUUGGAUCAUUACUUCCUAGCUUUGUGAUACACUUUCAAAGAGUCGGAUUGUUUGAGAAUGCAGUCCAAAAUGGGUGGUAAAUUUCAUCUAAAGCUAAAUAUUGGCGAGAGACCGAUAGUGAACAAGUACCGUGAGGGAAAGAUGAAAAGAACUUUGAAAAGAGAGUUAAACAGUACGUGAAAUUGUCAAAAGGGAAGCGUUUGACACCAGUGUUGUUUUUCCGAAAAUCAAUUACGAAUGGCUUGAUUCUGUGUUGUAUUGACCUUAUCAGCUUUCUUCACUUUUUUCGAGUCUUUCUUAAUGCACUUUUCGGUUAACAAGUCAACAUCAAUUUCUUUUGUUGUAAAAGAGUAUUCGGAAGGUGGCUUUCUUUUCGGAGAAAGUGUUUAUAGCCCUAUACUUCUACAAUCGGAGAGAUUGAGGUCUGCAGCGUAGAUCCUUCGGGGUUAGAUACACUUGUGCUAAGUUGUAGCUUUUCAUAGACAACUUGUUGACUAUGUUUAGUCAUGCGGCUUACUCGCUUGUGCUAUUUUACCUACGCUUAGGAUGUUGACGAGACUGUCGAUCUC
rnacentral:rRNA from 1 species